rnacentral:pre_miRNA from 1 species
GGUAACUUGCUUAACUAUGAACUUGGUUCGAUGACAGAAGAGAGAGAGUACAACCCGCCAUUAGCUAAAGAGUCUUUGCUUUUGUUGGGAGUGUGCUCUCUCUUCUCCUGUCAUUGAGUUAUUUUUAUUUGUCAUUUAAUUAUUUG